rnacentral:rRNA from 1 species
AGCGGCGGACGGGUGAGUAACGCGUGGGUAACCUGCCCCAUACACAGGGAUAGCCAUUGGAAACGAUGAUUAAUACCUGAUAACACAUUUAGAUCGCAUGGUCUGAAUGUCAAAGAUUUAUCGGUAUGGGAUGGACCCGCGUCUGAUUAGCUAGUUGGUAAGGUAAUGGCUUACCAAGGCGACGAUCAGUAGCCGACCUGAGAGGGUGAUCGGCCACACUGGAACUGAGACACGGUCCAGACUCCUACGGGAGGCAGCAGUGGGGAAUAUUGCACAAUGGGCGCAAGCCUGAUGCAGCAACGCCGCGUGAACGAAGAAGGCUUUCGGGUCGUAAAGUUCUUUUCUUAGGGAAGAAGAAUGACGGUACCUAAGGAAUAAGCACCGGCUAAAUACGUGCCAGCAGCCGCGGUAAUACGUAUGGUGCAAGCGUUAUCCGGAAUCACUGGGCGUAAAGGGUACGUAGGCGGUGAUGCAAGUCAGAAGUGAAAGGCUACGGCUCAACCGUAGUAAGCUUUUGAAACUGCAUGACUAGAGUUCAGGAGAGGUAAGUGGAAUUCCUAGUGUAGAGGUGAAAUUCGUAGAUAUUAGGAGGAACACCAGUGGCGAAGGCGACUUACUGGACUGAUACUGA